CCACCAGGCCCCAGGCCACCCAGCAGCCCCUUCCCACCCGCCAGCGCGGCCCUGCGCGGUGGCCCGGGGAGACUGGCACAGACAACAGCCAAGGGGGUGCUGGAUUCUGACGCCGUCUGGCUGCCAGGGCUGGACGUUCCAGGCCUCGGGAUCCUCUCGGGCCCGGCACCCCCAAAUCCCUUCCCGCCAGCUCCGGGCGCCCCAACGCCUGGGGUCAGUCCCCGCCGCCGCCAACCUCGCGGGGGUCUCCUGGAGGGCCCGGGAGCCUGGUGCGCGCCGGCUCCGCGUCUCCGGCGCCUGCUCGGCCCGCAGCCCAGCGGUCGGCGUCUAGGCCGCGGCCGCCCUGGGCGCGCUGCUGCGGGCGGGGGCGGCGCCGUGACGCGCGGGGCGGGGAGAGGAAGGGGAGUCGCUGACGCCGCGGCGGCCUCCGCGGCUCCGGCCUUUUGUGCGGCCGGCGGGGUCGGGUGGGGGCGGCGGCCGCGGAAGGCGAGGCCGGUGCCCUGCGGGGACGCCCAGCGCAGCCCAGCCCCGCGCAGCCGGGCCCUGCCCUGCCCUGCCCUGCCCUGCCCUGCGGCCGGGGCGCCGCCGCGCCGCAUCCAUGUUCGAGUAAGAACCGGGGCCGCCGGCGUCGGGGGGCUGAGGGCCGGGCGCCGGGGAGGGGGCGCCUGCGCGGCUGCGGGGCGGCGCGGCCGAGCUGGGUCCAGCGCUGGCGCACGUGGGCCUAGGUCUGGGCUGCCGGCGCGGGGCACCUGGGGUGCAACCCCCGAGGGGCGACUCCAAGGGGGUCGCCUUUGCGGGCCCGCGAGGCGCUGGGUGGCGGUGGCGGGGGUCUGGCUGGCUGGGCCGGGCUGGGGGCUCCUCUUGCGGGCAGCGCCGCCUGCGGGGAGGGCGCGCAGGCACUGCUGGCCUCUGCCUGGGAGGCCGGCCCGGGAUGCAGGGAAGUCGGCGAGCACCCCGCCGGCUGGGCCCUCUCCCGCCGGCCUGGUGGGUCUGGGCUGCGGGGGGCGGGGCUCCUGCGUGGCCCAAGGGCCGCGUGCCCGAGUGCGUUUCCAGCUGGACGUGUGUGUCCCUGUGUACAGUAGUGCGGGUCCGUGCGCGUGUGCAGGCCCCCUCUGCUGCCUUCCGCGGCUCUGCCACCCUCAGCGAGUGUCUGAUCGUGCCCCCCACCCUCUGGGGUUGUGUGCCUGUGUCUCCUGUAUCUCCCUGCGUGUGUGGCUGGUUCCAUGUGGGGGUGUGUAG
rnacentral:lncRNA from 1 species